CCUACGGGAGGCAGCAGUGGGGAAUAUUGGGCAAUGGGCGAAAGCCUGACCCAGCAACGCCGCGUGAAGGAAGAAGGAUUUCGGGUUGUAAACUUCUAUUCUCAGGGACGAAGAAAGUGACGGUACCUGAGGAAUAAGCCACGGCUAACGACGUACCAGCAGCCGCGGUAAUACGUAGGUGGCAAGCGUUAUCCGGAUUUACUGGGUGUAAAGGGCGUGUAGGCGGGAAAGCAAGUCAGAUGUGAAAACCACGGGCUCAACCUGUGGCCUGCAUUUGAAACUGUUUUUCUUGAGUGCUGGAGAGGCAGACGGAAUUCCUAGUGUAGCGGUGAAAUGCGUAGAUAUUAGGAGGAACACCAGUGGCGAAGGCGGUCUGCUGGACAGCAACUGACGCUGAGGCGCGAAAGCGUGGGGAGCAAACAGGAUUAGAUACCCGUGUAGUC
rnacentral:rRNA from 1 species